GACGUAGGGGGCCAGCGUUGUUCGGAAUUACUGGGUGUAAAGCGCGCGUAGGCGGCUUGUUAAGUCAAAUGUGAAAUCCCCGAGCUUAACUUGGGCAUUGCAUUCGAUACUGGCAAGCUAGAGUAUGGGAGAGGAAGGUAGAAUUCCAGGUGUAGCGGUGAAAUGCGUAGAGAUCUGGAGGAAUACCGAUGGCGAAGGCAGCCUUCUGGCCUAAUACUGACGCUGAGGUGCGAAAGCAUGGGGAGCAAACAGG
rnacentral:rRNA from 1 species